CGCAACCCCUACCUUUACGUUGUCCAUCAGGUUAAGACUGGGGACGUCUAAAGGAACUGCCUACGCAAGUAGUGAGGAAGGCGGGGAUGACGUCAAAUCAGCACGGCCCUUACGUCCAGGGCUACACACGUGCUACAAUGGCCGAUACAGAGGGCAGCUACCUGGUGACAGGAUGCAAAUCUCCAAAGUCGGUCUCAGUUCGGAUCGGAGUCUGCAACCCGACUCCGUGAAGUUGGAUUCGCUAGUAAUCGCGCAUCAGCCAUGGCGCGGUGAAUACGUUCCCGGGCCUU
rnacentral:rRNA from 1 species